AUCACCUCUCGGCCUUCUGGCUAAGAUCAAAUGUAGCAUCUGUUCUUAUCAGUUUAAUAUAAAUUGUUUAACUAACAUGUUCAUGGUAAAUUGUACAUGCACAUGCU
ensembl:snRNA U2 U2 spliceosomal RNA